rnacentral:rRNA from 1 species
UACAGAGGUCUCAAGCGUUGUUCGGAUUCAUUGGGCGUAAAGGGUGCGUAGGCGGCGCGGUAAGUCGGGUGUGAAAUCUUGGAGCUUAACUCCGAAACUGCAUUCGAUACUGCCGUGCUUGAGGACUGGAGAGGAGACUGGAAUUUACGGUGUAGCGGUGAAAUGCGUAGAUAUCGUAAGGAAGACCAGUGGCGAAGGCGGGUCUCUGGACAGUUCCUGACGCUGAGACGCGAAAGCUAGGGGAGCGAACGGG